rnacentral:rRNA from 13 species
GUUUGACCUCGGAUCAGGUAGGGAUACCCGCUGAACUUAAGCAUAUCAAUAA